GGUUGCGGGUGCACGGCUGUCGUUGCCCAGCCCCUUCAAGAGGGCGGGUGAUGGGGAAGUUCCACCCACUCCGUUUGGAGUCGUUCACGCGAGUGAAAGCGUUUAGGGCGCUGGCGCGGGGAGCAGAAACGAUUACCCCGCCCCGUAAGAGGGUGAACCCGUUUGCAGGGGGACGUUUCGGGGCAGAGGGGUUGAAACGGCUUCGUGCCCGGCUGGAGUGCAAGGCCUUAGUUCGCGACGCGAAAGCGUUCGCGGGAGGAAGCCGCUUAGUCCAAUGCCGUGGACAACAAAAGGUGGACUACGGCCCGCUCGCC
rnacentral:RNase_P_RNA from 5 species